UAGUCACGCCGUAAACGAUGGUCACUAGUUGUUGGGGUCUUGUACCUCAGUGAUUAAGAGAAAUUGAUAAGUGACCCACCUGGGGAGUACGAUCGCAAGAUUGAAACUCAAAGGAAUUGACGGGGGCCCGCACAAGCGGUGGAGCAUGUGGUUCAAUUCGAUGAUACGCGAGGAACCUUACCUAGGCUCUAAUGCGACUGCUACCUGGUGAAAGCCGGGGUUUCUUCGGAACAGGAAGCAAGGUGCUGCAUGGUUGUCGUCAGCUCGUGCCGUGAGGUGUCGGGUUAAGUCCCGCAACGAGCGCAACCCCUAUUGCUAGUUGCCAGCAAGUUAUGUUGGGGACUCUAGCAAGACUGCCGGCGCAAGCCGCGAGGAAGGUGGGGAUGACGUCAAAUCAUCAUGGCCUUUAUGCCUAGGGCGACACACGUGCUACAAUGGCAGGUACAGGGGGUUGCCAACCCGUGAGGGGGAGCUAAUCUCAGAAAACCUGUCCCAGUUCGGAUUGAAGU
rnacentral:rRNA from 1 species